AUUGAACGCUGGCGGCAGGCCUAACACAUGCAAGUCGAACGAGUGGCGGACGGGUGAGUAAUGUCUGGGUAACUGCCCGAUGGAGGGGGAUAACUACUGGAAACGGUAGCUAAUACCGCAUACCAUCGGAUGUGCCCAGAUGGGGUUAGCUAGUAGGUGAGGUAACGGCCCACCUAGGCGACGAUCCCUAGCUGGUGUGAGAGGAUGACCAGCCACACUGGAACUGAGACACGGUCCAGACUCCUACGGGAGGCAGCAGUGGGGAAUAUUGCACAAUGGGCGAAAGCCUGAUGCAGCCAUGCCGCGUGUGUGAAGAAGGCCUUCGGAUUGUAAAGUACUUUCAGCUGGGAGGCGUUACCAGCAGAAGAAGCACCGGCUAACUCCGUGCCAGCAGCCGCGGUAAUUC
rnacentral:rRNA from 1 species